CUUUAGACGGUACAGCAUAAAGCUUAUUGUGUCAGCAGAACAAUUGUUCUCUAGACAGACCAGUAUGAUGGUGUAUGUCAAUAUUUCAAAGAAUUACAUUUUGACACUAUUAUUUUAGCUCCCUCUGCCUUCACCAGGGUCCCUAAAAAUGACCAGUGAAUGCUGCUUGUGGAAGUUAAUGAGCACAAGACAAUCUGAGGAUACCCAAAUGUGUCCUCAACCAACAGCAUUGGUCAGGAAUCGUCCCUCUUGGUCAGGGAGGGAUAAGUUCUGUUCUCUUCAAAUCAGGCUGCUAAAACAUUCCUCUAGGCACCAUACAUGGACAGACCAUCAGCAUGUCUGAAAAGGCUUGGAAAAUAAUGUUUCAGCAUUUUACAAAACACCAUCACAUUGGCUAUUUAUACAUUGUAUUUCUAAACCUCAAUCGGCCACCAAGAAUGGCUGGCAAAAUUUGUUAGAAUUGGAAAACCAUAGCAACAUAGGUGGCCAGAUGAACUCAACCCAAAAUGUAAGAAUAAUGCUGCAUCUAAAAUUUUCCAUAUUAUUUUUGGCCUUUCUUACAUAAUACAAUUAUAUCAGCAGAGAGUUUAGCCCAAAUAUUUUCCAUUCUUCCAAAAUUCUGGUUGAUGGUUGUGAGAAAUUCUUGAACUUGAUGAGACACGUCUUCAAAAUAGAUUUCCCCCAUGAAGUUCAUGCUGGGAAUUUUAUUUUUCAUCAUUAUUUUAUGGGUCCCGUGUGAAUUGUGUCUAACGAAGACUGCCUUUGGCACAACGUAAUGAAGAAACCCCCUCUACUUCAAAAGGGCUCACUUUUGCAUUCUGAGAUAAUUAAUAUGAUGGUUUACAUAUACAAACUACAAUGUUGCACUGGUGAAGGGUGAAUAUUAAGGAUAAAUGUUGUAACUUCACUAAGGAUGGAGCAGUGUGCCUUUAUAAAGAUGGAGACGUUGGCUGGAGAUGAUUUGGAAUGCGAUAGCUGCAAAAAUAUGAAAAUGCCCAUGCCAUAGGCUAUUAAGGAAGAAGACACAAUAAAAUGUAUGCUGUCCAAGGGCCAGCUUUUUCCUCCUCACUAAAUCAUCCCCCCAUUGAUGAAAUUUAAUAUCGGGCAGCUAGCAGCCAAUCAGAGAUGCUGACAUCACAAGUCUUACUGACCAAUCCGAUGGAGAGAAAGGAGGGGUGUGUGAAAGAAUGAAUGGAUGUGCAGUGGUUUAGCAGACUCUACAGCAGGAGAUGCAUCAAUACAGCAACAUCGCAAGGCAGAACCUUUGUGGCAAGAUAGGAGCGAGCAAGUUUCAAAAGGACUGCUGUGCUUUGGGAUACAUGCUAAACCCACACACAGGAUUCUGGGAAUCGGUGGUUCUUGAAACCCCCAAUAAACAAGACAAGCAGGCAAAGCCUUAUUUUUAUUUAUUUUUACCUUUGUUGUUUAAUUGUCUAAAUAUUGAAGCCAUCGAGGAAAAAAUGAAUGCAGGUCAGAAUUCAUGCGGCGUGCAGGAGACCGAAGACCGAAGACUCAACGUAGCUGAAAAUGGUGGCGGUGGUGGGAUGAGCAGGGGUUGGUUGUUAUCUUUGGUUAUCUAGCUGUAUGAGUGUUGUCAAUCCUUCAUAAAGCUAGAUAACCGAAAGUAAAAAUAACCCCAUUACACUCCUUGGCAUUGGCAGCGGUCUUUGUGCCCACGGCAACAUAAAAGAACAUGGCUGCCAAAAAAACAAGACUAAAGAAUUUAAGAAAAAACAAGAGACAAAGAACACGAAAAAAUAUCUCACUUUGCUCCCUGAAUUAAAUCUGGAGGUAGGAUUUUUUUAUCAUCAGUCUUCUAUGAGGUUUUAUGAAUUUCCUGCUAUGUUCUGUGGACUCUCUCAAGACAUCCCUGCCAUGUUUGGUCUUUGACUUGGUUUAAAUAGUCAAACAUAAAAGGCAACUUUCCAACACAGACUUAAUAAAUAUGGAUGUGACUCUUUUGACAAUUGGAUUACGUGUCUAAGCUCUCAACGUACUGAACCAGAUCAUUGACUGGUAGCUUCCUUUUGGCUAACAUAGUCAUCUGAUUGGAUCAUAUUCCUGUGACACCUUAUUAGCAAUAUCUUUUAUGUCUACAGCUAUGAUUUUGGGCAGAAGACAAACGCACAUUCGCGAGGGAUGUAUUUUUUUAAAAAAAAAAAAAGUUUUUGUACUAUUUAAAUUUUAAAAUGUUUUCGUUUUAUUAAAAUUAGAUAUUUUUCCACCGAUUCUUGUGGGUGUUUUUAAAAUAUGGUUUUAAAAGAUUUAAUUUGCAGAAAUUUUGUCUGCUAUUUUUAAGACAUUAAUAAUGGUGAUAGCAACGUAACAAGGAUUAAAGGUGCAGCCUCUGAAAUAACCCAGUCUAACAUGAAAUCCCAUUUAUAGAGUGAACCGAUUUCUUUGUAAAGCCAAGCACACCAUAUUUUUUCCAGAAUGUUUGAAGACACUGGGCUGCAGAUGUAGAUUUGUUUAAGCCUGCGUGCAUGUUUUGUUCGACACAUCUCUCGUAGGCGCUUUGAGCUAUUUCAGACAGAGGGAACUGUGCUUCUCUCUCCUGUGCGAUUUAGCUUGUGUAAUUGACUUGUUUUACACUAGAAUGAGUUUGUAAGAAAACUUUUUUUUUUCCCAAAUUUCACUCCAUGGAAGAAACAUUUGACCAGAAGUCACUGCCUGCUGAGAAGGAUUGAGUUUUAAUCCCAUGCCCAAGUGAAAGGAUUAUGCAUUUAGCAAAUGCCAUAAAAUAGAAAAAGAUCUGUUUAAGGGAAGGGGGGGGGGGAACUAUACAUGGAGAAAAGUAAUUUAACUCUAUACAAGCAAAGGAGUUAAAAAAUAUUGAUGUGAAGGAAAAGAGUAUUUGGGAGAUUUCACAUCAUACCAGGAACCUUUAGACUGAAGAAUUGUCUUCAUGUUUGUUUGUAAAUGAAUUGGAUCUAUAAAAAUAUAGAAUAUUUAAUGAUGCCUAAGGUUGUUUUCAAUUAAAUGGCAAAGUCUGUCUAGAGGGAAGCUUUUUAGGCGUUUAAGAUGAUAACAAUCGAAUGUUCGGCCUCCUGAAAGAAGAUUUUAAGCAUGGGAUCUUCUAAAGUGGCAGUUUGAUGGAAAACACAACCCUAAAGGGUGCUGGAUAAUUUGAACAUAAGAGAUUCAUGUCUCAGAGCUGGCAGCCCAGAGGUUAUGUGGGCAAGGGGAGCAAGCUUAGAAGUUACUGAUAUAAUUGGAGACUUCUUUUUAAAGCUUACAUGAAAAGAGGACACGCAUUUAAUCAAUAUGGAGUUAAACACUAAAUUCAACCAAUUAAAGCGUGAGCACUCUUUUUCAAAUGCAAUUGCUUAACUUGCAGUCCAUCUCAUUAAAUUCAGUAUGGUCUAGUGCAGGGGUGUCCUUCUCCCACCAUGUUGUAGUUACGCAUGAAACAUGUUAGAAUGUUUUCUAGACAUUCCAGUGACCUGAAAAGGGACUGGUUAAACUAUUACUGUUAUCUGUUAUAUUUAUUAAGCAGCAAUAUAUAUUUAUGUUUAAUCUUCUUCAUAGGGACACGUUGUUUAUGUUAUUUGAGGUCCACCAAACAUUUAUACAUACCUUGACUUCAAUUUCAUUCAAGAUUAUACAUUUGAAAACUAUCAAGAAUUCUCCAAUCCAUUAGCUGGUUUUGAACUUGAAGAGGGAACAUUGUAAGCUGGCUAGCAGCUGUCUGAUAGGCGUUGUUAUUUACUUGCAAUUGGAUUGCUAGCGAUUAAGCAUUCUUAAUAUAAAAUUAUGGGAAACAUUUAAAAAGAAGGAAGAAAUAGGGCAAUUUCGGGGAUCAUAAAAGUAAUUCUGAAGUUAUUACAACAGAGGAGUUAAUUACAGAGUGAAAAAAGUGGCUUAUUUCAAUAGAUACAACCUCUUUAUUAUGAAAACUGCCAUAUUUAGACAAAUCUGUUGGAGAAUAAAAAUUAUAAAAUAUCUUAUCUAACCACUUAGUGGUGGGACUAAUAUCAUCAGACUCCACUACAUGGUGUUUAGAACCCAAGGUGACAUGUGGCCAUCUCUACUGUUGAGCCACGCUAUUGUUUCUGUUUCAAGGCUCCUGUAAACUGUCAGUCUUUAUCAUUAUUUUGUCAUGGACUCCACCAUAGCAUUGUACUUGUUUAUGGCCCAUAACCAUUCAGGGUGCUGUAAGGCUUUACAUUUUGAAUAACCCUGGAGUUGACCUUUCUUAAAUGAAAUGGUUUGUAGAAUCCCAAAUACACUCUAUUAUCUUUAAAGUCUUUAAAAGCCGUUGUGGUUUAUUUAUUUCAUGUUCCUGUGCUUUGAACUUCUCUGAAGGGUCAACAAAAUCCAAGCCAGAACUUUUAAAUGGUUUUUAGUUGUAGGUCAAAUCCAGGUACCCACAACUUUUAUAAACAAAUACUUAUAUGGGGGUUUUAAAUUUAAAAAAAAAAUGGAAAGAAUAAUACAAAAAAUUAAAAAAAUUGUGUUAUGCUGAUAACUUGUACAUAAAUAAUGAGGUUCGUCUUAGCAUGUCUAGCAUUUUAAUAUGAGCGUAUUUAUAGAACAUUUUCUUCCAUUUUAUAUCAAGUUUUGCAUUGUUUUUCUAUGCUAACGUUAUUAAUUUUAAUUUUAUAUAAUUCUAUGUUUUCUUGUUUUUCAUGCCGUGCACAAUUUUAAAAAUCUUAAACAAUUCAUAUUUUCCAUUGUACUCUAUGUUAUCACGUGUAAAAUUGCUGUUUUCAUCACAUUCAUUUAAAGGCUGUUUUUCUAGAAUGUUCUGUACAACCGUUUGUCCGGCCUUGGACGGUAGAAAUAAUUAAUCUGAAUUUGACUGACUCUAAACUUAAUAAAUCUUGAGUUUGUUUCCCUAAA